GAAAGGGAAAAUUGUCAUGGUUUGCCAUUUUUGCCCUUCUUUUUCUCUAAUAAAUUUUAAAUGUAUUUUUGUCUCUCUACUCACUUCCUACUCCUCUUUGUCUAUUUAUAUUUCUCUCUCUUUCUCUCCCUCUCUCAACGCGCCUCCACCUAUCCUCCAGUUGUCCGUUACCACCAACUCCACAUUAGUUCAACACACCUUCUAUGGACAUCUAAGAACCUCCAUCACCAGAGACAUUCUACAGUGACUCUUAUCAGUUUUGUCUUUCACGUCCCAGCUCACCUCUUCCCUCCAUCAUUGACGUCCAAGACUAUUUCUAAUUGUCGGCAUUUCAAGGUAUGGUUCGCAUCCAUCUCCUAUGAAUGUCAGAUAUCAAUUUUAUUUUUUAGAGUGUAUACCUGAACUUAAUUUGAUCCAAUUUUAGUAUCAUUUAUUUGCUUUCUAUAAUUUAUCAGGUUUGCGUACUUGUUUAUCGAAAUCUUUUUGAAAAAUAAAAACGGAUUGUAGUUUUGUUAUGAUUCUAACAAGGUCUUAUCAUGGAGGUAAUGGUGAUGAUCUAGGUAAUUUAUUGAUAUGAAUCUAAGUCUUCAUUUUUGUAAUUGAACUCGUAGAUCUAAUAAAACCAACUAGAUUAAUUCAUAAUUGCAUUAGAUUAUAUUUUUUGUAUGAUGUCAAUAAGAAUAUGGAUUAAGUUUGCGAUCUAUCAUCUAAUGUGCUACUGAAUGAUGAUAUUUCAAGUUCUACCAAAUUGGCUAGAUGGAUGAAAUUCAUAUCACAUUAAAAGGAUAUAUUAUUAUAGAAACUUGUGGAUAUCAGUUUUAAUAAUAUUUUUACCAAAAAAUCAUGCUUGCUCUUUAUCAUUUUUAAUUGCUCGCUGUGCAAUCCUACAUUUACAAUGGGAUUGUCAUAUCGAUUAGGAGCACAAUCCUAGAUUUAGUUAUUUGUUAAUUAAAUUUUCAAUUGUGUAGAAAUUGAUGUAAUUAGGGGAAGGUAAUUUAUAUUAACUAGGGAUUUUAAUAUUUUGUUAGGAAUUACGAUUUUUAAUCCAUUAGUUUUUGGUUUUCCUAAUCCAUUAAGGUUUGGUUUUUUAUUUUAUUAUGGAUUUGGUAAUUCAUUAAGAUGUGGGGUUUUAAUAUUUACUUCGGUCAUUUUGGUCUCUUAGUAUUUUUUUAAUCUACAAGUAAAAUUAUGAUAAAAGAAAAGGUAAAAUUUCGGUUUGUUUCUCUUGAAAUAGUGCAUGAUGUGCACAAGUUCAUUAGCUUAGAAAUAUUGAGGAUUUAUGCAAAUCUUCGUGGUUGAGUUAUUAAAUAAUCCAUUAGUGCUAUGCCUUUAGAACCCCUUGGUGUGAACUCCUUAGUUUCAUUUAGGGUCUGAAGUCUAGAGAUCCUAAUGCGUGUGAAGCCUAGAAAUUUAGUUUUCUCUUGAUUUUUGUCUUCUCAAUCUUCCCUUCAUCAGGGGUUUUUGGAUACAUGUGCCAAUGUUAUUGCUGAAUUUCUCCCCGAGUUUGAGAUAUGGUUUCAAAUGUUAAUGAGAUGCAUCCUCUUAUUAAUUCACUGUUGCAAGUUAUAUGUGUGCGUAUAUAUUUUUUUGAUCUUAUGGCCUUUAACUUUCUGACACAUUGUCAGUAUCAUGUUUAUCAACUUAAUAACAAUUAUAAAAAUAAUUUUUUUCUUUUUCUUUUUUCUUUUUGGUUGAAGUGGGGGUUGAUGAGGUUUAGGAAGAAUACGCAAACUUCUAAAAUUGACCGGAUCUGUUGUAGUUUAUGUAUUACAUGCCUUUUACCCAGUUCAUUUUCCGGGGAUACUUCAGAG
rnacentral:lncRNA from 1 species